rnacentral:rRNA from 2 species
GGGUUGUGAGGUUAAGCGACUAAGCGUACACGGUGGAUGCCCUGGCAGUCAGAGGCGAUGAAGGGCGUGCUAAUCUGCGAUAAGCGCCGGUAAGGUGAUAUGAACCGUUAUAACCGGCGAUACCCGAAUGGGGAAACCCAGUGUGACUCGUCACACUAUCAUUAACUGAAUCCAUAGGUUAAUGAGGCGAACCGGGGGAACUGAA